rnacentral:rRNA from 1 species
AUUGAACGCUGGCGGCAGGCCUAACACAUGCAAGUCGAGCGAGCGGCGGACGGGUGAGUAAUGUAUGGGGACUGCCCGAUAGAGGGGGAUAACUACUGGAAACGGUGGCUAAUACCGCAUACUAUCGGAUAACCCAUAUGGGAUUAGAUAGUAGGUGGGGUAAAGGCUCACCUAGGAGACGAUCUCUAGCUGUUCUGAGAGGAUGCUCACCCCCACUGUGCAUGAGACACGGCACAGACUCCUACGGAGGCAGCAGUGGGGAAUAGUUCACACUGGGCGCAAGCCUGAUGCAGCCAUGCCGGGUGUAUGAAGAAGGCCUUAGGGUUGUAAAGUACUUUCAGCGGGGAGGCGUUACCCGCAGAAGAAGCACCGGCUAACUCCGUGCCAGCAGCCGCGGUAAUA